rnacentral:rRNA from 1 species
GGCCUACGGGACGCAGCAGUGGGGGAUAUUGCACAAUGGGGGGAACCCUGAUGCAGCGACGCCGCGUGGGUGAAGAAGCGUUUCGGCGCGUAAAGCCCUGUCAGCAGGGAAGAAGAUGACGGUACCUGACCAAGAAGCCCCGGCUAACUACGUGCCAGCAGCCGCGGUAAUACGUAGGGGGCAAGCGUUAUCCGGAUUUACUGGGUGUAAAGGGGGCGCAGACGGCGAUGCAAGCCAGGAGUGAAAGCCCGGGGCCCAACCCCGGGACUGCUCUUGGAACUGCGUGGCUGGAGUGCAGGAGGGGG